rnacentral:rRNA from 1 species
AGUGAACGCUGGCGGUAGGCCUAACACAUGCAAGUCGAACGGCAGCACAGUAAGAGCUUGCUCUUACGGGUGGCGAGUGGCGGACGGGUGAGGAAUACAUCGGAAUCUACUUUUUCGUGGAGGAUAACGUAGGGAAACUUACGCUAAUACCGCAUACGACCUACGGGUGAAAGCAGGGGAUCUUCGGACCUUGCGCGAUUGAAUGAGCCGAUGUCGGAUUAGCUAGUUGGCGGGGUAAAGGCCCACCAAGGCGACGAUCCGUAGCUGGUCUGAGAGGAUGAUCAGCCACACUGGAACUGAGACACGGUCCAGACUCCUACGGGAGGCAGCAGUGGGGAAUAUUGGACAAUGGGCGCAAGCCUGAUCCAGCCAUACCGCGUGGGUGAAGAAGGCCUUCGGGUUGUAAAGCCCUUUUGUUGGGAAAGAAAAGCAGCAGGUUAAUACCCCGCUGUCCUGACGGUACCCAAAGAAUAAGCACCGGCUAACUUCGUG